rnacentral:rRNA from 1 species
AUUGAACGCUGGCGGCAGGCCAAACACAUGCAAGUCGAGCGAGCGGCGGACGGGGGAGGAAUGUAUGGGGACUGCCCGAGAGAGGGGUAUAACUACUGGAAACGGUGGCUAAUACCGCAUACUACCGGAUCAGCCAUAUGGGAUUAGCUAGUAGGUGGGGUAAAGGCGCACCUAGGCGACGAUCCCUACCUGGUCUGAGAGGAUGACCAUCGACACUGGGACUGCGAUCCGGCCCCGACUCCUACGGAGGCAGCAGUGGGGAAGAUUGCGCAAUGGGCGGAAGCCGUAUGCGACCAUGCCGCGUGCAUGAAUGAGGCCUUAGGGUAGUCAAGUACUUUCGGCGGGGAGGCGUUACCCGGAGAAGAAGCACGGGCUAACUCCGUGCCAGCAGCCGCGGUAAUAC